AUGAUUUGCUUCUUUCUGGGCUAUAAUCUACUUCACCGCGUUGAGAAAAUACGCCCCGUAUCUUGGCAGGGCGACUCGGUAUGGCAUCCAUUUGCGAACCGGUGUCUGCAGCCAUGGCGAUGUUGCUUUCUCUUUGCUUGUUUGUAGAACAGCAAAAUCUGAGCCCUAAAGUGGGCAUAUAUGAUUAGAAAUGCUAUUGGAAGGGACUGAACCUCCGACCUUGUGGUUAAUAACCACGCGCUCUAACCAACUGAGAAAUGAUAAAUAAAUAAAUCUAUGACGGGGCUAUAUGAUGAAAUUCUUCUUAGAAAAUGCAAUGAAGCUUUCAGAUAAUUUGAGCCGUAGCAUGGAAAAGCGACCUGUUAGCGUCUAUUGUAACAUGCUAAAGGUUUGCAGCCAUCACGGUGCUGAAUCCGUGAUGCCAAUGAUUUCUUUGUUGCUCUGAUCAAUAGCUCCUUUUUGUAGGUUUUUGCUGUCUACAGUGGAUGGAAUUUCAACCCAGAAUAAAGAAUGAGGUCAACAGGGAGGGUGGUUGCCCUCUCUGCUAGGCCUAUGAUUUCUCCAUCUACCAACCAACAACCCUCUUCAGAAAAAAACAGGCAAGUAUGUUUGGUGAUUCUGAUAGUCGAGAUACUAUCUUUUUGAGCUUAAGCCUUGAGGCAAUGUUUUUGGUCCAAAACAUCCCCAGAUCUGAAGGUUGCGUUUGUUUGAUGAGAAUUUUUUAACAUGUCCAAAUGGCUCCUAGAACUAUGGAAAAGUUGCCAUUUCUCUAAAGAGGUAAUGAUGAUACUGCUAAUCCCUGCUGAAGUUCAGGGCAUGGAGACAGUCCGACCCGUAUCUUGGCAGGGCAAACCUGGAUGGCUUGGGAUUGAGGCCUUCUCUUUCACAUGCAACCGGCUGCUUGCAGCCAUGGCGUGUUGUUGUCUACUCUUUGCCCCAUUUUACGCAGAUCUGAGCCUCAAUAUCCAACUAGUACAUCUGGAUUUUUUGGGUCUCGAACCCAGAAUCUCUCGUUUGGUGAAAAACAUUUGGGUUAUUCAAUUUUUCUUGAACACCUUCUUGCUGUUCUCCAUCAAACUAGCUCAAAGAAUUGAGGCAAUUGGAGAAAAAAAAAAGGGAUCUUUUAGGGUGGUUGACCAUCUCCAACAUUCCUAUGAUUUCUCUCCUCUUUAAGUUCUCACAAACAGCUCUUUUUGUUUGUGUGUCUUUUUAUUCUCAUUAAGGACCAUUUUGAUAUUUUCUUUUGAUAUGGUGUACAAUUAUCGUACAACUGCGGAGACCCAAAGUACCGCAUUGAGUGCAGAUUUUCAUCACCGCAAACUCAAAGGGAAUGCACCAGCGGGGAAUCGAAAUAGGUCUGUUCUGCGGCAGGGUACUAUCUACCACUAGACCACUGGGUAAAUGCCAGCAGGAUGUUUAUCAUUUUUCUCCAGGAACCACAUUUCAGCGCUAGAGUUUCAUUGCGUGUUGCGUGAUCAAUCAAUCAUAAGGAUCUUAUAGUCAUCACUAGUUGAGUCAUACCCCAAUCAGCAAGUACAAAAUUCCUUCGCUGAAAAUUUUGGAUGGGGAAGAACUGUUGAUUCUCUUGUGGAGGGGUUCCAUAGCAAAAGUAUGUUGUGCUUAUUAAGCCCGGAAAGGAAGAAUGAGUCGUCAGAGAGAUGGGAUUUAAAGGUGGUUGCCCCUCUCUGCUAUGUCCAUGAUUUCUCCAUUCGUAAAACCAACAACCCUUUGAGAAAAAAAAAAAAAAAAAGGUACAUGAUAAACCAUCUAAUAACACACCCCUUGAAUAUUUACCUCUGUAAAGAAAGGGGAUAUGCUCUUCCUUCCUCUGCUUCUGCUGCUACCACUACUAUCUAUGUUAAGUAGCAGCCCUAAAAGUAGAUACCUGGUGUCCAAGUUACCAGUUUCAAAAAAACAAAGUAGAUACCUGGUGUCAUUUCUACAUUGAUCUUGCAGAUCACCUGAAAAUGGGUUGUGAUGAUGAUUGCUUCUUUCUGGGCUAUCUAGUUUACUGCUUUGAGAAAAUAUUUACCCUAUCUUGGUGGGCUAGCCCGAUAUUGCAUCGUCUGCAAACCGGUGUCUGCAGCCAUGGCGCGUCACUUUCUCUUUACAUGAUCAUAUACAGCAAAAUCUGAGCCCUAAAGAAGGCAAAUAUCUGUUGCCGCCAAUGUGAUACUGAUAGCAAUAGUAUAUCCUCCGUCCAUUUUAUGUCUUGAAACUGUUCAUAAAUUACUAUGCCAAAGUUCCCAUUAUCCUAGAGGCAGUGAUGAUAUCGCUAAUCUGGGCUGAUAUUUGGGGCAUGGAGAAACCCCGACUCGUAUCUUGGGCUAGCUCGGAUCAUUCGAUCAUGCAGCCAUGGCAUUGUCAUUUCCCUUUGCCCCAUUUUACACAAACAGGGAAAUGAUGAAAAUCUAUGGUGUAGUGGCUAGCACUCUGGACUUUGAAUGCGACCUGGGUUCGACUCCCAGUAGGACCUGAGUUCUUAAUAUAAAUGUCACACUGGCUACGGUGGUGUCGUUGUUGAUAAUGCUUUUUUUGAGCAAUUUGAAUUCGGCGUUGAGAUGAUAAGAGCCGUAUCUUGGCGGGGUAACCAGGAAGAUAGCAGCCAUGGCGGUUUUUGGUAAAGUCAGUGCUUGAUUAAAUUGGCAUCUGAGCUUCGUUACGUACAUGGUGCACAUGUAUAUUCUCUGUCUUUUACAUACACUCACAAAAACGUACAUAUCAUGAGAAAAUGUCCAAAAUAAUCCCUUAUGUAGGUACUGAUGAUCUUUCAACCAGAUCUUCUGAGCUAGUAAUUGAGCAUUGAGAGUACGUGACUGUAUCUUGGCGGGGCAAUGACCAGGAUGCAUGUGAUAUUGUUGCAUGCAACUAGAGGUAUUUGCAGCCAUGGUGUCACUGAGCUUUCUUUGCCUGAGCAUAAAUAUACAGAUCUACAACAGCAUACCCAGUGUAAUCCCACAAUGUGGGGUGUAGGGAAAAGAAUGUUUCUAGUCAGACUCGGACCCGCAACAAUGCACUAUACAUUAUGCCCUUCGGUCGCUACGCUGAAUGUCAUAUUGUAAAAAUUAUGGGGUGAGAGAGGCUCAAGCUCUCGACCUCAGGAUUACUGGCAAAGCUAUGAGACCCAUGUGCUAGCCAAGUGCGCCACCACCCCAGCGGUGAACAGUCACCAUUUGAUACGUCUGCCAAGUCGAACCCGGGUCUAUUGCUUGGAAGGCAAUUAUCCUAACUGUUGGACUGCAAACGCCUGGAUCAUAAAUAUAUACAGAUCUGAGCCUCAGAUUCCCUUUAUAUUUUACUUUGGGUGUAUUGAUAUGGAUGAAACUAUUGCAGUGAAUAGAUGAAGCAGAAGGUGCAACGCAAAAUGAUAAACAUCUCAUUAGUUUAAGUCUGAGGCUUCGGGAUUCAGAGAGUUGGGCGAGUUGACAAGUUGUUUGAGUGGUUGCCCCUCUCUUUCAUUCUCAGCAGCCAAUGAUCACUCAAAGUUUCCCAAUUUCAAACCACUCUUUAGCAAAAUAAGUUCAAUGAGGCUGUGAUGAUUUUCAUUCUUUGCUCAUCAGAUGGUUGAGCUUUGCAAAUAUCUUGGCAAGGCAGCUUUUGGGGGGUCUUGUGAGAUAUGCAAGCUAUUUAAGUUUCUGGUCUCACAAAGGCUUCUUUAGCUUGCAGCCAUGGCAGGGUUUAGCUUAUGCGGAGAAAAGGCGAAUCUGAGCCUCUCAAAUUUCUCUUUGUGUUCAAAGGAUGUGGUUUUAUUGAACUCGAGAAAGGUUGAGAUAUUUUAAGGGUGGUUAAUCUCUUUCUCUGAAUUUCAAUUUAGCCAAUGAAUUUUCCUGUACUUCUGUUAUAAAACAGCACUUUAAGAGAAUAUACAUACUUUGGCCCCCUAAACUUUUCCAGAAAACCCGAAAUCCUGAACCCCAAACUUUGUGAAUGAGGCUAUGAUGAUAUUCUCUAGGAAGCUUGUAAGUCAGAUUUUUGAGCUGAUUCAUAUCUUGGUUAGGCAAAGGCAAGAGAAUUUGUGAGGUUGGUUCUUAUGUGCUCUCACACAAAAGGCCUCUGCUUUAUGCAACCACGGUGGAUUAGACUUUUUCUGAUAGAUCAAAUCUGAGCCUCUUUUCUGUGUUAACUUUAGUUCUACAAUGGGUGGUCUGUUUAUUUCGUCCUUUACCUUCUUUUUGUUUUUGAUGAAAUCGUCCUUUACUUCUUUUUAUGAUCAUGUUGUAUAGUAUUGGUUUGAGCGGAGUCUAAAUGGAGUGACAUGAUCAGUGACGAUUUAUAAUGUUGAUCCCAGCUUGUUUGGGACUGAGACGUUAUUGUUAUGUUCUUUUUAUAUUCAUAUUCUUUCUGCUACUUUUGCAUUAAUAGCAGGAAGAAUCCAAGUUUCAAAAGAAAACCAUAUGUGUUUAUCUACCCAUUCUCCUGGAGUGAAAUUAUUAGCUACUGAUAUGAAACAAGACCAAACGGAAUGACUGAAUAUUGAGGAUUCAUAUACCUGUCCUUAACCAGUUUGAUACCAAAGCUAUUUGGCAAAUUUAUCUACAAAAUUUUCCAGACUUUCAUGCCUCAUUUCGAUAUUGAAAUCCCAAGUUUCAGAGGCAGUGAAGAUUAUGCAUAAUGAAAAGGAAAAGUGAAAAUAUUGUUGAUUCAUGCCCUGGCUUGGCAAGACCAAUCGGAAGGUCUUUCUUAUAAGGCAACCAAUGAUUGCAGCCAUGACAUUGCUAACCCUGCUAUUUCCUUUGAUUAAAUAGGCGAAAAUCUGAGCCUCAUCCUCAACUUGGUUUAUUUACUUUUUUUUUUUUUUGACUAGUCUUUCUAGAAACAAUUUAAACUAGAUUUUUUUUGCGUGGUUCUUUGGUCUAUUAUUUUGAAUUCAGACUCUCUUCUGUUCUGUGUGGUUACUGGUUUGCUAAAGAUCGGAGAUAGUUAUGGUGUCUCCGAUUCCCCAAGAUCAUCUGUCUUUGUGCAGAGCCAGAUUCCUACUUUUGUUGGCCUUUUUUUCUUCCUAAUUUCAUUUUCUAAUGUAAUUAUUAUCCCAGUUGAAGCUGUAGUUUCUUGGAGCCCUACUCUUAACGUUCAAGACUAUUUUAACUCUUGGGACUUGAGACUAUGUUGAUACAAGUUUUAAGCUGGUGCGUACAGUCUUCGACGAGUACAUGCAGCAGUUCAAGAGACUCCUGAUAGCCCAACACGUUGAAAUGAAGAAAUCCGGUCCGGUCAGUUCAAGAACUAAACAUAUCCAGCAGCUGAUUGAACUUAGCAUUCUAAGAUUCUUGGAUUUUUUUGUGGUACGGUAUGAGCAUAGCGUUGAUGUCCAGUUGGCUUGAAUUUGUAAACCUUUGCUAACACCGUGAGUUUGCCUUGAAAAUGUAUUUGCGAUUUGUAUAGGGGCAAGCAUCUAGAUUUUAGAUACUUUUCAGCGAUGUUAGUUUCAUUUCUUAUUCCUGUUCAUUUUGUCUUUAUUAGGAAAGUGAAAGACACGAUGAAGAAGAUGUUGGACUUGAAUUCAGUCCGUGAGCUGCUUGGAUGGUUAACAUAUUGUUUCAUAGUGUAUCAUAUUAUAUUGUAUUGUGUCGUUUGAUGAAUAUAA